CAAGAACCUGCAAGACGAGAAAGCACAAGAACUCCGGGGAAGAAGUGAAGUUAGUAACAUGCAUUAAUGGAACAUGAAUGAGUGCAGAAAGAGAGAGGAAGGGAGGAGCUCAGUGCACCAUGGGAAAUCCCCCGAUAGUCUAGGCCUAUAGCAGCAUAACUAAGGGAUGGUUCAGGACUCACCUGAUCCAGCCCUAACUAUAAGCUUUAUCAAAGAGGAACGUCUUAAGCCUACUCUUGAAUGUGGUGAGGGUGUCUGCCUCCCGAACCACAACUGGAAGCUGGUUCCACAGGAGAGGAGCUUGGUAACUGAAAGCUCUGGCUCCUGUUCUACUUUAAGAUACUAUAGGAACCACAAGUAGCCCAGCAUUCAGAGAACGUAGUGUUCUAGUGGGGUAAUAGGGUACUAUGAGCUCUUUAAGAUAUGAAGGGGCCUGACCAUGAAGAGCUUUAUAGGUGAGGAGGAGGAUUUUAAAUUCUAUUCUACAUUUUACAGGGAGCCAAUGCAAAGAAGCUAAUACAGGAGAGAUGUGAUCUCUUUUUCUAGUUCCUGUCAGUACUCGUGCUGCAGCGUUCUGAAUUAAUUGGAGCGUUUUAAUGGACUUAUUGGGGCAACCUGAUAAUAAAGAGUUGCAGUAAUCCAGCCUUGAAGUAAUAAAUGCAUGGAUUAGUUUUUCUCCAUCUGUCUGUGAUAGUAUGUGUCUAAUUUUUCUAAUAUUACGUAAAUGAAAGAAGGCAGUCCUAGAGGUCUGCUUCAUGUGGGAGUUAAAUGACAAAUCCUGAUCAAAGAUAACUCCAAGAUUCCUGAAAGUGGUGCUAGAGGCCAAGGUAAUGCCAUCUAGAGUAACUAUAUCUUUAGACAGUGAGUCUCUAAGGUUUUUGGGGCCAAGAACAAGAAUUUCGUUUUUUUCUGAGUUUAACAUCAGAAAAUUGCAGGUCAUCCAGGAUUUUAUGUCCG